AUUGAACGAUGGCGGCAUGCCUUACACAUGCAAGUCGAACGGCAGCAUGGGUGCUUGCACCUGAUGGCGAGUGGCGAACGGGUGAGUAAUGCAUCGGAACGUACCCGGAAAUGGGAGAUUACGUAGCGAAAGUUACGCUAAUACCGCAUAUUCUGCGAGCAGGAAAGCGGGGGAUCGCAAGACCUCGCGCUUCCGGAGCGGCCGAUGUCGGAUUAGCUAGUUGGCGGGGUAAAGGCCCACCAAGGCAACGAUCCGUAGCGGGUCUGAGAGGAUGAUCCGCCACACUGGGACUGAGACACGGCCCAGACUCCUACGGGAGGCAGCAGUGGGGAAUUUUGGACAAUGGGGGCAGCCCUGAUCCAGCCAUGCCGCGUGAGUGAAGAAGGCCUUCGGGUUGUAAAGCUCUUUCGGCUGGGAAGAAAGCGCAUCUCCUAAUACGGGGUGUGGAUGACGGUACCAGCAUAAGAAGCACCGGCUAACUACGUGCCAGCAGCCGCGGUAA
rnacentral:rRNA from 1 species